GGCUCGUUGGUCUAGGGGUAUGAUUCUCGCUUAGGGUGCAAGAGGUCGCGGGUUCAAACCCCGGACGAGCCC
rnacentral:tRNA from 1 species